UCAACGCGGGGGACCUCACCAGGCCCGGACACCGGAAGGAUUGACGGAUUGAGAGCUCUUUCUUGAUUCGGUGGGUGGUAGUGCAUGGCCGUUCUUAGUUGGUGGAGCGAUUUGUCUGGUUAAUUCCGAUAACGAAUGAGACUCUGGCCUACUAACUAGUCGUCGGAUUGUCUUGAACCGGCUUCGGUCGGUUGCCCGUCGCAACUUCUUCUUAGAGGGAUCUGCGUCAUCUAGACGCAAGAGACUGAGCAAUAA
rnacentral:rRNA from 1 species